UCGGGAAUUUUGGGCAAUGGGCGAAAGCCUGACCCAGCAACGCCGCGUGAAGGAUGAAGUAUUUCGGUAUGUAAACUUCGAAAGAAUAGGAAGAAUAAAUGACGGUACUAUUUAUAAGGUCCGGCUAACUACGUGCCAGCAGCCGCGGUAAUACGUAGGGACCAAGCGUUGUUCGGAUUUACUGGGCGUAAAGGGCGCGUAGGCGGCAAUUCAAGUCAUCUGUGAAAUCUCCGGGCUUAACUCGGAACGGUCAGAUGAUACUGCUUUGCUAGAGUGCAGAAGGGGCAAUCGGAAUUCUUGGUGUAGCGGUGAAAUGCGUAGAUAUCAAGAGGAACACCUGAGGUGAAGACGGGUUGCUGGGCUGACACUGACGCUGAGGCGCGAAAGCCAGGGGAGCAAACGUGAUUAGAUACCCUGGUAGUCCCUGAGCGGGCUGGCAAGGCGCAU
rnacentral:rRNA from 1 species